rnacentral:rRNA from 1 species
UACGUAGGGUGCAAGCGUUGUCCGGAAUUAUUGGGCGUAAAGAGCUCGUAGGCGGUCUGUCGCGUCGGAUGUGAAAAUCCAGGGCUCAACCCUGGACCUGCAUUCGAUACGGGCAGACUGGAGUGCGGUAGGGGAGAAUGGAAUUCCUGGUGUAGCGGUGGAAUGCGCAGAUAUCAGGAGGAACACCGAUGGCGAAGGCAGUUCUCUGGGCCGUAACUGACGCUGAGGAGCGAAAGCGUGGGGAGCGAACAGG